AUACCCCAUAUGCCGAAAGGUGAAAAGAAAUUUGCCUUGAGAGGGGCUCGCGUCCGAUUAGCUAGUUGGUGAGGUAAGAGCUUACCAAGGCGACGAUCGGUAGCUGGUCUGAGAGGAUGAGCAGCCACACUGGGACUGAGACACGGCCCAGACUCCUACGGGAGGCAGCAGUGGGGAAUUUUCCGCAAUGGGCGAAAGCCUGACGGAGCAACGCCGCGUGGGGGAAGAAGGCCUUUGGGUUGUAAACUCCUUUUCUCAGGGAAGAAGAACUGACGGUACCUGAGGAAUCAGCCUCGGCUAACUCCGUGCCAGCAGCCGCGGUAAUACGGAGGAGGCAAGCGUUAUCCGGAAUUAUUGGGCGUAAAGCGUUCGUAGGCGGCGUUUCAAGUCUGCUGUCAAAGGCCGAGGCUCAACUUCGGAAAGGCAGUGGAAACUGAAAAGCUAGAGGUCGGUAGGGGCAGAGGGAAUUCCCAGUGUAGCGGUGAAAUGCGUAGAUAUUGGGAAGAACACCGGUGGCGAAAGCGCUCUGCUGGGCCGAACCUGACGCUGAGGGACGAAAGCUAGGGG
rnacentral:rRNA from 1 species